UUACCUUUACCUUUAGCAUUUAAUGCGUUUUUAGUCAUAAUUUGGAAGUUGACGGCCACAUGUCCUCAUUUAUUGACACUGGUAGGCUAUAUUUCAUGACAAAUUCUCCAUUUGUGCUCCAUGGAAGAAAAUUAUACGGGGUUAGAACGAUGUAAUGGUUGUUUAAGGAAGGAUUGAGCUCUAGGGGGCAAUAAAGAGCCAUUAUAAAAGAACUUGACUGCUCUAACUUUCAGGAUGAAACAAUUUGCACGAAGUAGCCUACAGAAAUAAAGAAACCCACCCCCCACCACACAUCUAAAGAUUAAUACGGGAGCAGAAUUAACCAUGACAGACCAUAUUUCUUGGUUGGGACUCUGUCAGGACCAUCAACUGGCAUCAAGCCCAAUAUCAGAAAUGAAACGAUCUAGAGAUUGCAGCACAGAGUGCCACAAGACUUCAUGAGCUGGGUUAAAACAAGCUUGAGUUGCCUCAGGAGUACUAGUUUGCUCUUAACGUGUUGGGAAUUGGGCAUGUUUUUGACUGACUGUUGCCCCUUUUGAGAUCGCGCCUCAGUGGCCUUGUUUAUUCCAACAGCUUGUGAGGGAAGCAACUCUCCCAGAACAUACGUUGCACGUUUUACUUAUUUAAAGGAAAUUUCUUACUGAAAUAAAUAUUUGUCUUAUGCUGUUGUCUUUCUGUUCUUGGUUGUAAUAUGGGGCUAUGGUGUCAAUGCUGUUGUUUGUUUGUUAUGCAAUAUACUUAGGUUAUAUAAUCAUAGGAUUGAUCUUUAUGUUGAUAACAUGGACCCUGUGGGAUUUACUGGCAUGUUAAAUUAUUUAUUCCUAUCAACGAUGUGUUGGGGAGAUUUUAUGUAGUUUACAUGGAUAGUAAAACCUGAAAUCACCUGGGUUGUGAGAACUAGCCAUGAGUAAAACAUUAAUCAACAUGCUAAAUAGUGUAUUAAUGAAAAUGUGUUGCAGACAAUAUCAUUAGCAAUUAUAACAAUGAAAGUUCAAACGCAUAAGCAUGUUCAUUUUGCUUAUCUUGCUUUGGCAUUGUUGGAUGUUAAAUUAGUCUUCACUGUCAGUGUGAUAGAUGGUCUCUGAUAAUGUUCAUCUGUUCUGUGAGAGGACAGCAUCUAUCGAGCCCAGUGUCAGUACAAAGCUCACACACUGUUGUGUCUUGUGUGUGUUCAUUAAAUAAUUAUAUUUAUAUGUUGUGUUGUGGACAAUUUUUAAGUGUUGUGUAAUGACGUAAUGUGUUUGAGAA